rnacentral:lncRNA from 10 species
ACAAACACCAAUUGAAGGAUAUUAUACAAAAUAACUGGUGUGUAUUCUUAGAAAAUGACAGUGUCAUGAAAACCACAGAAAUACCAAGGAGCUAUUUCAGCUAAGCAAAACUAAAGAAACAUGAAUCUGGGAUUUAUUUAUUUUUUUAAAGUAUUGUUGUGACAUUAUUGGGACAGUUGGCAACAUUGAAUUGUAAUAUCAUAUUAAUUUCCUGAUUUUGACAAAUAUACUGUAGCUAUGCAAGAGCUUGUUUUGGGGAAGUAUACACUGAAUGAAGCAUUUAGAAGUAAAGGGGUACAGUGUCUGCCACUUAACUCUCAAACAGUUCA